rnacentral:tRNA from 1 species
GAGGGUCUAGUUCAAGUGGUAGAAUGCAUGCUUGGUAUGCAUGCUUAGUAUGCAUGAGGUCCUGGGUUCAAUCCCCAGUACCUUCU